CCUGGGAAGGGGGUUUAUAUACAGGGGAAGAUAGAGGAAGGCUUAUGGAGGAAUAUGGCCUGGGGAAAACAGAAGGACAAGACUAGAGCUUGAGUGACCAAGGACAAAUAACCCAAUUAUAAGAUGGAAUCUGUGGGAGAAGGUGGGCAUUAGUCCCCUUCUAUGCUGCUACUAUGGGAUUUGGGAAGAUUAAUUAGAGGCAGGAAGCUGAGCCUAGUGGAAGGGCUGAAGAUUGCCUAAGACCCUCGGGGGGAACUGCUGUGACCUGAAAGAGUGUAGGGCAGAAGACUGUGAGUUGCCACUGGACUUUGUUUUUGAUGCUCCGGAAGUGGUGAACUCUGAUUUAGCCAGAGAGCGAAGUCACCUCAGUGCUGCAACGCAGUAAAGACUCCUGCAUGCGAGCACUGCAGCAGCCUACAAGCCUGUGGGUUUCUGAGAGGGGAAACUGGAGCAGUGGAGAUGCCUAAUGCUGAACUGGGUAAGCCCCAGCUAUCUUGGGAUUCAGCCAUAGCAACCUGUGUAGCUGCACCAGCACAAGCCCUAACUGUCGUCAAGAAAAGCUGUGAUUUGCAUGGAUUGAGGGUUACACAGGCAACUGGUGCAAGUCAUGGCUUUCCUUGGCAACACUUGGGGUUUGCAUGGAUGCAGGUAUACCAGUUGCUGAUUGCUGAUUUGGAGCUAAUCUCGCACCUGGAGAAGGGCGUGUAGGGUGAUAUGUUUUCAAAGAAGGAAGCAGAGUGACCCCAAUGACGUGUCUUUAUAAAAGAAAAUGUGGAUCUUCAUUUUUCACUCUUCAAAAUUCAGGCCAUUCACAGGUUCUAGAUCUUUUGUUUAUCCCACAAAUCAAAACACAGGCCAAUUGCUAAAUUCUGAUUUGGAUUCCAAAAUCUACUAACUCUCAAAUUUUAGAUGAACUUAGAUCCAGGGUUUUUUGUUUGGAACAGAACCAUUUAAAAGUGCCAAAACCUAAUGCUUCUUAGGUAGUUUCCACAACCUUUCUGUCUUUGCCAUGAAUUGCAUUAAUGUGAUUUGAGAGAUUCCUGCAAAUUCAGUAGAAUUAGCAUCAUGGCCAAAGAUUCCACAUACCCACCCUAUACAAUGUCAUGGUAUACUAUAUAUGCAUAACCGUGAAUUUGUUAAUGAAGGCCUGUAAGGAUUUUUUGACAUUUUUAUGAAGUCCACAGUAGCCUUCAAAAUAAUACAGUAUUGGUAGAAGUUGAAAAUAGUUUUCUGCUAUGAAAUUGUUGUAUACUUCAUAGCCAUUAUUGGGCAAUCUUAGUUUGAAUGAAUAAAAUUUUAAAACUUCAUUGAAAACAAGUAGCAAUCGUUCAUCAUGAGUGAGAUUUUGAAAUCGCUAUG